CCUACGGGAGGCUGCAGUGAGGAAUAUUGGUCAAUGGGCGUAAGCCUGAACCAGCCAAGUCGCGUGAGGGAUGAAGGUUCUAUGGAUCGUAAACCUCUUUUAUAAGGGAAUAAAGUGUGGGACGUGUCCUAUUUUGUAUGUACCUUAUGAAUAAGGAUCGGCUAACUCCGUGCCAGCAGCCGCGGUAAUACGGAGGAUCCGAGCGUUAUCCGGAUUUAUUGGGUUUAAAGGGUGCGUAGGCGGCCUUGUAAGUCAGCGGUGAAAGUCUUUGGCGCAACCAUAGAAUUGCCGUUGAAACUGGGGGGCUUGAGUAUGUUUGAGGCAGGCGGAAUGCGUGGGGUAGCGGUGAAAUGCUGAGAGAGCACGCAGAACCCCGAUUGCGAAGGCAGCCUGCCAAGCCAUGACUGACGCUGAUGCACGAAAGCGUGGGGAUCAAACAGGAUUAGAUACCCGUGUAGUC
rnacentral:rRNA from 1 species